UUAACGUCAUUGUUUUUGUUUUGCAUUCCCGCCGACCAAAAAGAUUUCAAUCGGAACCCUUCGCCGUUAUUUCGAUGGAUUCGCCACAGCAGAUAUCCGACAGCUGCGAACACAUCUCUUUUUCUGGACAAACUUAUCGUUACAAAACACAGCCAAAACAACCAGUUCUGGGGCCAUUCGUCGCUUUUACAUUGCCAUCAAAUCGGCGCGGUUGAUUACAGAAAUCUGGAAGCACCCUAGCAAAGGAAGGACUGUCCGUGAUGGCAAGAUAAACGUAUAUUCGAUGGACGAGGCACUGGCAUCGCCUGUAAAGCAGUCAGCGCGCGACGAUAGAGUUGUACAUCCCGAGGUGCUGCAGAGUGCAGGAGCAGCACGACAUUAUUAGCGGAGGAUCAAGUAGAUUGCGGAUUAGGCCCAUCGCAGUUACUAUCAAUUGCAUCAUUUUUGAAGAAAACGGAACGUUUUCCGAGCACUCAACCGGCGAUGGGUAAACCGACACCAAUGAGGAUGCCGAUGGUAUUGGCAACGGUACGAAGAAAACCACCCAGAUUCAUUCGAUUCAAAUUCGUUUCAAGCUCGAAUUUGAGUCAUUAGCUAGGAAGCCGGCAUCAUCGGUGGAGGAGCGAUUUCGAACGGUUGAUUCACGCGGAUGGCGAGCUGGAUGGUAAAAAACAACGAGGGAACGAAAAUAUGUGUGUGGAUAAGGAACAUUAUAUGAGAGACUGCAAGCUCAAGUGACGUCGUACGAAUCCAGGAAAAGUUAGCAACAGAUGGGCCACGAAAAGGUUAUCAAAUAAUACUCGGAUUAGAAGGGUCCAUUGGCAUUCGGAAAAAAUCUUGAAGCUACCGGUGAGUUAUUUGCUGUUGAAGAUUCUGAUUGUAAAUUUGUGAAAAAAAAAUGACACAAAUUUCAACCGAUUGGUUCCAUUUGUGUAGGUCCCGCGGCAUUCGGAAGAAUAUAACAAAAUAGGAGUUGUGCCCUGUUCAAGUGCGACCUUUUUCGACUACAAGAUCAACACGGAAAACAUACACGAGCAUGUCUGGAGUCAUUGAAGUACAUGUAAAUACCAUGACCAGGAGGUAAAAGGAUCCGCUCCGCUGUCCGAAUAAACCGAAGUUGUGGGCUCAUGUGUUGCUGCUGAUUUAGAACGAUGGAAACUA